rnacentral:rRNA from 1 species
GGGAUAAGCCUGGGAAACUGGGUCUAAUACCGGAUAUGACUCCUCAUCGCAUGGUGGGGGGUGGAAAGCUUUAUUGUGGUUUUGGAUGGACUCGCGGCCUAUCAGCUUGUUGGUGAGGUAAUGGCUCACCAAGGCGACGACGGGUAGCCGGCCUGAGAGGGUGACCGGCCACACUGGGACUGAGACACGGCCCAGACUCCUACGGGAGGCAGCAGUGGGGAAUAUUGCACAAUGGGCGAAAGCCUGAUGCAGCGACGCCGCGUGAGGGAUGACGGCCUUCGGGUUGUAAACCUCUUUCAGUAGGGAAGAAGCGAAAGUGACGGUACCUGCAGAAGAAGCGCCGGCUAACUACGUGCCAGCAGCCGCGGUAAUACGUAGGGCGCAAGCGUUAUCCGGAAUUAUUGGGCGUAAAGAGCUCGUAGGCGGUUUGUCGCGUCUGCCGUGAGAGUCCGGGGCUCAACUCCGGAUCUGCGGUGGGUACGGGCAGACUAGAGUGAUGUAGGGGAGACUGGAAUUCCUGGUGUAGCGGUGAAAUGCGCAGAUAUCAGGAGGAACACCGAUGGCGAAGGCAGGUCUCUGGGCAUUAACUGACGCUGAGGAGCGAAAGCAUGGGGAGCGAACAGGAUUAGAUACCCUGGUAGUCCAUGCCGUAAACGUUGGGCACUAGGUGUGGGGGACAUUCCACGUUUUCCGCGCCGUAGCUAACGCAUUAAGUGCCCCGCCUGGGGAGUACGGCCGCAAGGCUAAAACUCAAAGGAAUUGACGGGGGCCCGCACAAGCGGCGGAGCAUGCGGAUUAAUUCGAUGCAACGCGAAGAACCUUACCAAGGCUUGACAUGAACCGGAAACACCUGGAAACAGGUGCCCCGCUUGCGGUCGGUUUACAGGUGGUGCAUGGUUGUCGUCAGCUCGUGUCGUGAGAUGUUGGGUUAAGUCCCGCAACGAGCGCAACCCUCGUUCUAUGUUGCCAGCGCGUUAUGGCGGGGACUCAUAGGAGACUGCCGGGGUCAACUCGGAGGAAGGUGUGGACGACGUCAAAUCAUCAUGCCCCUUAUGUCUUGGGCUUCACGCAUGCUACAAUGGCCGGUACAAAGGGUUGCGAUACUGUGAGGUGGAGCUAAUCCCAAAAAGCCGGUCUCAGUUCGGAUUGGGGUCUGCAACUCGACCCCAUGAAGUCGGAGUCGCUAGUAAUCGCAGAUCAGCAACGCUGCGGUGAAUACGUUCCCGGGCCUUGUACACACCGCCCGUCAAGUCACGAAAGUUGGUAACACCCGAAGCCGGUGGCCUAACCCCUUGUGGGAGGGAGCUGUCGAAGGUGGGACUGGCGAUUGGGACUAAGUCGGAACAAGGUA